GGGCCUCGGGUCACACGUAUCAGCUUGACCUCUAAGAGCUGGAGACUAAGGUCAGCCACGUGGGCUGUGAGCCAGUCUAUGUGCUGGACUCCCAGACUCU